rnacentral:rRNA from 1 species
UACAGAGGUCCCAAGCGUUGUUCGGAUUCACUGGGCGUAAAGGGUGCGUAGGUGGUCGGGGUAAGUCUGAUGUGAAAUCUCUGGGCUCAACCCAGAAAUGGCAUUGGAUACUAUUCGGCUAGAGGAGUGGAGGGGGGACUGGAAUACUUGGUGUAGCAGUGAAAUGCGUAGAUAUCAAGUGGAACACCAGUGGCGAAGGCGAGUCCCUGGACACUUCCUGACACUGAGGCACGAAAGCUAGGGGAGCAAACAGG